CGUUACAAAGCCAAUUGUCCUGCAAGACCACAAUGCCUGGUUCAGUGCGGAUGGAGAAGGUGGAGAAUGUGCUGCAGGCAGAGGAGAACUGUUCUAUGUCCCUCCUGAUGGUCCUGCACCACAGUACUGCAUUACAGUAGGAGACGUGGGACAGACAUAUGUGGAUUUGGGGAAGCUUUACACAUCAGAAUCAGAACCAGGAAAAGGCUGAGGGAGCAUCUAGGACCACCAUCUCCAACCAUUUUUCUUUAAAUCUUAAAAGCUUGUGAUUUCUUUAAAAACUAAGUCAAGUGUCUUCAAGCAAGGCAUGAGUACUAACAUCUUGGUCAAGGUUAAGGCAGAGUGGGAUGGAAAUGAAAGGCCCCUGAAAUGUUCCAGAACUGACCCCAUCUCUCACCCCCCUCCCCGCUUCCCUUCCCCCUCCCCCACAGCCUCCUCCUCUUCCUUUUCAUUUACUGGCUAUCAUGAAUCUUUUGAAGCUCACAGACUCCGUUGCUAUGCCAGAUGCACAGUACCUUCCAAGGGUAUCUCCAUGUACUCAUUUGUAGAAUCAGGAAGAAGGAGAGACUGGCCUUGGGCCUCAAGCUUGAGUGAGCCCCAAUUUUCUUCACUGACACGGCUUUUCAUCAGGCCCUGGCAACAACCUAAGAAAGAUCUGUCUCUGUUUUGA
rnacentral:lncRNA from 1 species